CCUGCUAAGUUUAAUCUCUAGAAAAAAUAAAAAGACCAAAAAUAUGCAUGAUGGAAAUGAUGAACAGUUGCUCUGUUUGCUUACUUACAAGUACCUAGCUUUUAUAUUAGAGUUCUUACAGGAAUUACUAAAACUAAACUUACUAUCUUUGGGAAGCAUAAAACUAAAGUCUAGGUAAGAGAAAGGCAUGAUAUAAAGUUGAGCUGCUGUUUAUCUUGUUCCUACUACACUAAGUUCUGGAGAUUUAUUUUGAAAACUUACAAAUCACAUGAUGAGUUCCUAGCAUACAAAACUACCUACCACAGCCAUACUUAACAUCUUUUACUAUAUUCACAUUGAGUUUGAUCGAGCUGUGUAGACCCUUAGGAGCUUUUCAUGUGGUUAAAUUAAGAUAUUCACUUGCACACAUCUACCACAGCAUUCACCAUCAAUCAUUAAAAUUGCUAAAAAUAUUUUCACUCACUGUCCCGAAUAUUGUUAUUCUCUCUCUCUAAAAAGAUUCAAUGCAGAAGAGGCAUGGGUUAUGCUAAAGUAUACGAGGAAAUAAAAAGGGGCAAGUGCCCGGAACCUCGAUAAAGAAGGAAAAAGAGUGAGACGAGAGGUAAAAAUGGACAAGUGUCCGAAGUAGAAUUAGGGGUACAAAGAUGCCCACUUGAGCGGAAAAAAUGGACAAAAAUUAGGGGUAUCUACUACCCACCUAAAAAAAAGAGAAAGAGAAAAAGAGAUAGCCCAUGUUCUCCCAAAGCAAAGAUCAAAGAAGAGGAGAGAUAGUAAUAUGAGGAGCAAUGAGAAGUAAGUUAUCACUUAUGCAUUUUCACCAUCACUAUCAUUUACUCCAUCAC
rnacentral:lncRNA from 1 species